UACGUAGGGUGCGAGCGUUAAUCGGAAUUACUGGGCGUAAAGCGUGCGUAGGCGGUUGCUGAAGUCCGUUGUGAAAGCCCCGGGCUUAACCUGGGAAUGGCAGUGGAAACUAGGCGACUUGAAUCUGGCAGAGGGGGGUGGAAUGCCACGUGUAGCAGUGAAAUGCGUAGAGAUGUGGCGGAACACCGAUGGCGAAGGCAGCCCCCUGGGGUUGAGAUUGACGCUCAGGCACGAAAGCGUGGGGAGCAAACAGG
rnacentral:rRNA from 1 species